GGCAGGUCAGCCAGUGGAAGGCCCUUUCCCUGUCUGAACCUGCUUGCGUGCUCAGUCGCUACAGUUGUUUGGCUCUUUGCGACUCUACGGACUGUAGCCCGCCAGGCUCCUCUGUCCACGGGGAUUUUCCAGGCAAGAACACUGCGGAGGGUUGCCGUGCCCUCCUCCCGGGGAUCUUCCCGACCCAGGGAUCAAACCUGAGUCUCCUGCAUUACAGGCAGAUUCUUUACCUCCUGAGCCGCCGAGGAAGCCUGCCUGAACCAGCUUCUGCAACUAUAAAAGAGGGCUCCGAGAACUAUCCUCCCCAGCCCAUGAGAACCCAGAUGACAACUCGUCCAUCAGGAGAGUAACAGGAACCCCAAACCAUCCCCUGUACUCAUUUCUCAUAUCUGCUAGGACUUGGCCAGGAAAUGGGAAGGGGGCUGGCGCUUAUGGAGGUCCUCCUGUAUGCCCAGCUCUGCAGUCCCAUUUUGUAAGUCAUCACCACCUCUGCCUGCCCCGCCCCACCCCACUGUACAAAUACAGAGACUGAAGUUUCGAGAGGAGGAAGGCCUCGAGGAUCUGGCUUCUCACCCAGUGCAUCCUGAGACCAAGCCUGGCUUGAGUCCAGCUCCUAGACCCAGCCCUGCGGCAUGUGGGAUCCUAGUCCCCCCACUAGGGAUGGAACCCGUGCUCCCAGCAAUGGAAGUGCAGAUUCUCAACCACUGGACCGCCAGGCAAGUCCCCACUCAUUU